AUUUUUAAAAAAGAAUGAAAUCAUUACACACACAAAGGUGGUUUUCCCAGGGCAAGUAUUCUCCAUGACACUCCUAAUCGCUGACCCCUACAAGCUCCCCAAAUGCAGGAAACUCCAUAAUUUGUGGUAGUGGGGGACAGCAUUUGUUCUUUCCCCUG